UGGGGAAUAUUGGACAAUGGAGGGAACUCUGAUCCAGCAAUUCUGUGUGUGUGAAGAAGGUUUUAGGACUGUAAAACACUUUUAGUAGGGAAGAAAAAAAUGACGGUACCUACAGAAGAAGCAACGGCUAAAUACGUGCCAGCAGCCGCGGUAAUACGUAUGUUGCGAGCGUUAUCCGGAAUUAUUGGGCUUAAAGGGUAUCUAGGCGGUAAGACAAGUUGAAGGUGAAAACCUGUGGCUCAACCAUAGGCUUGCCUACAAAACUGUUGAACUAGAGUACUGGAAAGGUGGGUGGAACUACACGAGUAGAGGUGAAAUUCGUAGAUAUUCGGAGGAACACCAGUGGCGAAGGCGGCUCACUGGACCAUUACUGACGCUGAGGUGCGAAAGCGUGGGGAGCAAACAGG
rnacentral:rRNA from 1 species